rnacentral:piRNA from 1 species
UGAGACUGACCAAGCUGCAGCAGGAGC